rnacentral:lncRNA from 1 species
UAUUUAAAAUACUUGUAGUGUAUACAUUAUUAGUUUUGAAUUUGUUCACUCCUAUGUUUUCUCAAAAAGCUUUGCCUUAAAGUACAAGAAGUCAAUUCUUUUGCUCUCAGUCAAUUGACUGGCUUGGUAAAUAUUAGAAUCUAGAAUUGUACUGUUGUAUAUGCUGCAUGCUACAUUACAAAAGCAUCAAUUGUGUUUUAUACUUUUAUUACAUGUCAAAAUUUUAUGUAACAGUGUUUUAGAAAUGGUGGAAGUUUUUAUAAGCUUGUUAGCGUGUCUGUUCGUAAAUGUUAAGUAUAUGUUCGACCAUCGAUUAGAGCAUUUAUUUCAGUUUUUUAUGAAUAAUUGGCUUUAAAAAGUGGUAACUUUUAUUUUAUGUAAAGAUUCUUCAUUGAAAUGCUCAAGAUAGAGCACCACUAACUGAAAAAUGAUAAUUUUGAGUGAUAAAAUCAGGUUCAUAUAGCAAAUAAUAAAUCAAUAUAGACUAGGCGUGCUUGAUGAAGGGAGACUAUGGAGCUCAGGCCCUAGGGUAAAAUCCGCUUGGUUCAUUGUUGAAUUCAAGACCAACUUAUUAAUUUAGACUGGCAGUGGAGGGAACCAUCCAUGAAUUGCCUCUAUUUAGU